GACGAACGCUGGCGGCGUGCUUAACACAUGCAAGUCGAACGGAAAGGCCCUGCUUUUGUGGGGUGCUCGAGUGGCGAACGGGUGAGUAACACGUGAGUAACCUGCCCUUGACUUUGGGAUAACUUCAGGAAACUGGGGCUAAUACCGGAUAGGAGCUCCUGCUGCAUGGUGGGGGUUGGAAAGUUUCGGCGGUUGGGGAUGGACUCGCGGCUUAUCAGCUUGUUGGUGGGGUAGUGGCUUACCAAGGCUUUGACGGGUAGCCGGCCUGAGAGGGUGACCGGCCACAUUGGGACUGAGAUACGGCCCAGACUCCUACGGGAGGCAGCAGUGGGGAAUAUUGCACAAUGGGCGGAAGCCUGAUGCAGCAACGCCGCGUGCGGGAUGACGGCCUUCGGGUUGUAAACCGCUUUCGCCUGUGACGAAGCGUGAGUGACGGUAAUGGGUAAAGAAGCACGGGCUAACUACGUG
rnacentral:rRNA from 1 species